rnacentral:rRNA from 1 species
AUUGAACGCUGGCGGCAUGCUUUACACAUGCAAGUCGAACGGUAACAGGGAGCUUGCUCCGCUGACGAGUGGCGAACGGGUGAGUAAUGCGUCGGAACGUGCCGAGUAGUGGGGGAUAACGCAGCGAAAGUUGUGCUAAUACCGCAUACGUACUGAGGUAGAAAGUGGGGGACCUUCGGGCCUCACGCUAUUCGAGCGGCCGACGUCUGAUUAGCUAGUAGGUGAGGUAAAGGCUCACCUAGGUGACGAUCAGUAGCGGGUCUGAGAGGAUGGUCCGCCACACUGGGACUGAGACACGGCCCAGACUCCUACGGGAGGCAGCAGUGGGGAAUUUUGGACAAUGGGCGAAAGCCUGAUCCAGCCAUGCCGCGUGUCUGAAGAAGGCCUUCGGGUUGUAAAGGACUUUUGUCGGGGAGGAAAUCCCCAGCGCUAAUACCGCUGGGGGAUGACAGUACCUGAAGAAUAAGCACCGGCUAACUACGUGCCAGCCGCCGCAGUAACAC